CAGCCGUAAACUAUGCUCGCUAGGUGUCAGGCAUGGCGCGACCGUGUCUGGUGCCGCAGGGAAGCCGUGAAGCGAGCCACCUGGGAAGUACGGCCGCAAGGCUGAAACUUAAAGGAAUUGGCGGGGGAGCACAACAACGGGUGGAGCCUGCGGUUUAAUUGGACUCAACGCCGGACAACUCACCGGGGACGACAGCAAUAUGUAGGCCAGGCUGAAGACCUUGCCUGAAGCGCUGAGAGGAGGUGCAUGGCGUAGACGUCU
rnacentral:rRNA from 1 species